UAUCUAUGAUACAUGGUAGGAGAGCGUUGAAUGCGGGGUGAAGUCAGAGCGAAAGCGCUGGUGGACUGCAUUGAAGUGAGAAUGCCGGAAUGAGUAGCGAGAUUUAUGUGAGAAUCAUAAAGGCCGAAAGACUAAGGUUUCAGAAGGAAGGUUCGUCCGCUUCUGGUUAGCCGGGAGCUAAGGUGAGGCCGAAAGGCGUAGCCGAUGCACAUACGGUGGAGAUUCCGUAGCCGUCGAAAUAUUUAAGCAAAGGGACACUUAUGAAGGACAUGACCCGGGCGAUGGUAGCCCCGGGCGUAAGGGACUGAAAACAAGUAAGGAAGCAUGUUUGGAUUAAGGCGAGAAAAGCUUUGUGUAUAUAUUAGACGUCCGUACCGCAAACCGACACAGGUAGUCAGGAAGAGGAUUCUAAGGCCAACGGGAGAAGGGUAGUUAAGGAACUCGGCAAAUUGACCCCGUAACUUCGGGAUAAGGGGCGGUGCGUAAGCACCCGCAGUGAAUAGGUCCAGGCGACUGUUUAUCAAAAACACAGCUCUCUGCUAAAUCGAAAGAUGACGUAUAGGGGGUGACACCUGCCCGGUGCUGGAAGGUUAAGAGGAGGAGUGCAAGCUCCGAAUUGAAGCCCCAGUAAACGGCGGCCGUAACUAUAACGGUCCUAAGGUAGCGAAAUUCCUUGUCGGGUAAGUUCCGACCCGCACGAAUGGUGUAACGAUCUGGACGCUGUCUCAACUGCCCCCCCGGCGAAAUUGUAGUACCGGUGAAGAUGCCGGUUCCCCGCGGCAAGACGGAAAGACCCCAUGGAGCUUUACUGUAACUUGAUAUUGGGUCUUGGUAUUCUAUGUACAGGAUAGGCGGGAGACUAUGAAACAUACACGCCAGUGUAUGCGGAGUCACCCUUGGGAUACCGCUCUUAGAGUACUGAGAUUCUAACCUGCGGCCGUGAAUCCGGUCGGGGGACAUUGUCAGGUGGGCAGUUUGACUGGGGCGGUCGCCUCCUAAAAGGUAACGGAGGCGCUCAAAGGUUAGCUCAGCACGGUCGGAAACCGUGCCUCUGAGUGCAAACGCAAAAGCUAGCCUAACUGCGAGGCUGACGGGCCGAGCAGUAACGAAAGU
rnacentral:rRNA from 1 species